rnacentral:rRNA from 1 species
AUUGAACGCUGGCGGCAUGCUUUACACAUGCAAGUCGAACGGCAGCACGAGUGCUUGCACUUGGUGGCGAGUGGCGAACGGGUGAGUAAUACAUCGGAACGUGUCCUAAAGUGGGGGAUAACGCAUCGAAAGAUGUGCUAAUACCGCAUAAUCUCUAAGGAGAAAAGUAGGGGAUCGAAAGACCUUAUGCUUUUGGAGCGGCCGAUGUCUGAUUAGCUAGUUGGUGGGGUAAUGGCCUACCAAGGCGACGAUCAGUAGCUGGUCUGAGAGGAUGGCCAGCCACACUGGGACUGAGACACGGCCCAGACUCCUACGGGAGGCAGCAGUGGGGAAUUUUGGACAAUGGGCGCAAGCCUGAUCCAGCAAUGCCGCGUGAGUGAAGAAGGCCU